GUGUCAGCAGCCGCGGUAAUACAGAGGUCCCGAGCGUUGUUCGGAUUCACUGGGCGUAAAGGGUGCGUAGGUGGUGGGGUAAGUCUGAUGUGAAAUCUCUGAGCUCAACUCAGAAAUUGCAUUAGAAACUACCUUGCUAGAGGAUUGGAGGGGGGACUGGAAUUCUCGGUGUAGCAGUGAAAUGCGUAGAUAUCGAGAGGAACACCAGUGGCGAAGGCGAGUCCCUGGACAAUACCUGACACUGAGGCACGAAAGCUAGGGGAGCAAACAGGAUUAGAAACCCGCGUAGUCC
rnacentral:rRNA from 1 species